CCUUGCAGGCAGCCUGGGGUCCAACACGCAGCCUUCAACAGGGGCCAGGCAGGAAGUGCGAACAACCAACGUCGGCUGGAUGUAAAAUGCCGGGAAGGGUGAGGGAUGUUCAGGCUCCAGGAGGGAACAGAGAUGGCUCAAAGGUGGCCUCACUUUCCAGCUUCUCAAGAGAAACAAAAAAAUCGAGUUCUUCCCGCUGAAAUCUUCCAAAUUGUUCACGCCGGCAACUAAUUAAAAUACGCAAAUGCAGUUCAGCUCAAACAAUACACAUUAAAAGGCUAGAUCUGCGCCUUUCCCCUUGACAAGUCGUCCGUGAGCCGCUCCCUCCUCCCCCACAAAUUGCCACCAGAGAGCCUCUGCUCCAAGAAGAGUUUAUCGCUUUGAAUACAAACGACUUAAUAACCACAGUAGCAGCUACCGCGACUUGGAUAUCCAAACACUUCAAUCCCUCCUAGCAGAUACUUUUAUUGCCAUUUUACCCAGGAGGGAAACAGGAGGCUCAGGGGGGUUAAGGAACCUGCCCAAGGUCACAUAGUCGCCCUGCUGUGGGGAAGCUCAAGCUACUCGAUGGAGAGAAGACGCCAGCCAGGAACAACCCCAUGUCAUGUGGGCAAGCCCAGCCCUACACAGAGAUGUUGGGAGACAAUUCUCCACGGGCCUCUUAAAGUCUGCAUGUUUUCUGAGCAAGAGACACAGAGAGCUUUGCCCUGGACUAUCUUCUCAAGAUUGUCGUAUAGCAAACAGCCUUGGAAGAGAAAAACUGUAUCUCCCUCUGGGGUAGAGGGCAGAGGGCAGAGUUGUUUCCUAACCAGUAUAAUAAAGAACAUCUCUCUCCAGGGCAAAGGCUGGGCAGGUCUGCCAGGAGCCCCCCUUAUAAGACUGGGGAUUUCCUAAGCUUUAGGAUCCCCAGUUGUGGCAAACGCAGGUGGUGUGGGAUCUAUGUGGGGUGCUUUGCAAUGCUCCCGUGGAACUUAGGGGCAAAGAGAACUGAUGUGAACAUGAACUCAUUCCACCUGCUGGACUGUGAGUAAUAAAGGCCUUUGUCUCU